ACGGGUGAGUAACACGUGGGUAACCUACCUAUAAGACUGGGAUAACUCCGGGAAACCGGGGCUAAUACCGGAUAAUAUUUUGAACCGCAUGGUUCAAUAGUGAAAGACGGUUUCGGCUGUCACUUAUAGAUGGACCCGCGCCGUAUUAGCUAGUUGGUAAGGUAACGGCUUACCAAGGCGACGAUACGUAGCCGACCUGAGAGGGUGAUCGGCCACACUGGAACUGAGACACGGUCCAGACUCCUACGGGAGGCAGCAGCG
rnacentral:rRNA from 1 species